rnacentral:rRNA from 1 species
CGUCUGCUAGUACACGUGGACACCUACCCUAAGGAGGGGGAUAACCCCGGGAAACUGGGGAUAAUACCCCAUAGACUAGAGAAGCUGGAAUGCUCUCAAGUCCAAAGGUCCGCCGCCUUAGGAUGGGUCUGCGGUCGAUUAGGUUGUUGUUGGGGUAACGGCCCAACAAGCCCGUGAUCGAUACGGGUUGUGAGAGCAAGAGCCCGGAGAUGGAUUCUGAGACACGAAUCCAGGCCCUACGGGGCGCAGCAGGCGCGAAAACUUUACAAUGCGGGCAACCGUGAUAAGGGAACCCCGAGUGCCCGUAAAUUCGGGCUGUCCAUCAGCGUAAAUAACUGGUGAAGAAAGGGCCGGGCAAGACCGGUGCCAGCCGCCGCGGUAAUACCGGCGGCUCGAGUGGUGGCCACUAUUAUUGGGCUUAAAGCGUCCGUAGCUUGGUUGUUAAGUCUCUUGGGAAAUCUACCGGCUCAACCGGUAGGCGUUCAGGAGAUACUGGCAAUCUAGGGACCGGGAGAGGUGAGAGGUACUCCAGGGGUAGGAGUGAAAUCCUGUAAUCCUUGGGGGACCACCUGUGGCGAAGGCGUCUCACUAGAACGGCUCCGACAGUGAGGGACGAAAGCUGGGGGAGCAAACCGGAUUAGAUACCCGGGUAGUCCCAGCUGUAAACGAUGCGCGUUAGGUGUAUCGGUGACCACGAGUCACCGAGGUGCCGAAGGGAAACCGUGAAACGUGCCGCCUGGGAAGUACGGUCGCAAGGCUGAAACUUAAAGGAAUUGGCGGGGGAGCACCACAACAGGUGGAGCCUGCGGUUUAAUCGGACUCAACGCCGGAAAGCUCACCGGAUAAGACAGCGGAAUGAUAGCCGGGCUGAAGACUCUGCUUGACUAGCUGAGAGGAGGUGCAUGGCCGUCGUCAGUUCGUACUGUGAAAGCAUCCUGUUAAGUCAGGUAACGAGCGAGACCCGANUU